rnacentral:misc_RNA from 1 species
AUGAAGAACGUAGCGAAAUGCGAUAAGUAAUGUGAAUUGCAGAAUCCAGUGAAUCAUCGAAUCUUUGAACGCACAUUGCGCCCGCCAGCAUUCUGGCGGGCAUGCCUGUUCGAGCGUCAUUUCAACCCUCGACCUCCCUUUGGGGAAGUCGGCGUUGGGGACCGGCAGCACACCGCCGGCCCUGAAAUGGAGUGGCGGCCCGUCCGCGGCGACCUCUGCGUAGUAAACCAACUCGCACCGGAACCCCGACGUGGCCACGCCGUAAAACACCCAACUUCUGAACGUUGACCUCGAAUCAGGUAGGACUACCCGCUGAACUUAAGCAUAUCAAUAAGCGGAGGA